ACGAACGCUGGCGGCGUGCUUAACACAUGCAAGUCGAACGGAAAGGCCCUGCUUUGUGGGGUGCUCGAGUGGCGAACGGGUGAGUAACACGUGAGUAACCUGCCCUUGACUUUGGGAUAACUUCAGGAAACUGGGGCUAAUACCGGAUAGGAGCUCCUGCUGCAUGGUGGGGGUUGGAAAAGUUUCGGCGGUUGGGGAUGGACUCGCGGCUUAUCAGCUUGUUGGUGGGGUAGUGGCUUACCAAGGCUUUGACGGGUAGCCGGCCUGAGAGGGUGACCGGCCACAUUGGGACUGAGAUACGGCCCAGACUCCUACGGGAGGCAGCAGUGGGGAAUACUGCACAAUGGGCGGAAGCCUGAUGCAAGCAACGCCGCGUGCGGGAUGACGGCCUUCGGGUUGUAAACCGCUUUCGCCUGUGACGAAGCGUGAGUGACGGUAAUGGGUAAAGAAGCACCGGCUAACUACGUGCCAGCCGCAGC
rnacentral:rRNA from 1 species